rnacentral:rRNA from 1 species
AGAGCGAACGCUGGCGGCAGGCUUAACACAUGCAAGUCGAGCGCCUGUAGCAAUACAGGAGCGGCAGACGGGUGAGUAACACGUGGGAACGUGCCUUUUGGUUCGGAACAACUGAGGGAAACUUCAGCUAAUACCGGAUAAGCCCUUACGGGGAAAGAUUUAUCGCCAAAAGAUCGGCCCGCGUCUGAUUAGCUAGUUGGUGGGGUAAUGGCCCACCAAGGCUACGAUCAGUAGCUGGUCUGAGAGGAUGAUCAGCCACACUGGGACUGAGACACGGCCCAGACUCCUACGGGAGGCAGCAGUGGGAAUAUUGGACAAUGGGGGAAACCCUGAUCCAGCCAUGCCGCGUGAGUGAUGAAGGCCUUAGGGUUGUAAAGCUCUUUCGUCGGGGAAGAUAAUGACGGUACCCGAAGAAGAAGCCCGGCUAACUUCGUGCCAGCAGCCGC